ACGCUAGCUACAGGCUAAACACAUGCAAGUCGAGGGGCAGCAUGGUCUUAGCUUGCUAAGGCCGAUGGCGACCGGCGCACGGGUGAGUAACACGUAUCCAACCUGCCGUCUACUCUUGGACAGCCUUCUGAAAGGAAGAUUAAUACAAGAUGGCAUCAUGAGUCCGCAUGUUCACAUGAUUAAAGGUAUUCCGGUAGACGAUGGGGAUGCGUUCCAUUAGAUAGUAGGCGGGGUAACGGCCCACCUAGUCUUCGAUGGAUAGGGGUUCUGAGAGGAAGGUCCCCCACAUUGGAACUGAGACACGGUCCAAACUCCUACGGGAGGCAGCAGUGAGGAAUAUUGGUCAAUGGGCGAGAGCCUGAACCAGCCAAGUAGCGUGAAGGAUGACUGCCCUAUGGGUUGUAAACUUCUUUUAUAAAGGAAUAAAGUCGGGUAUGGAUACCCGUUUGCAUGUACUUUAUGAAUAAGGAUCGGCUAACUCCGUGCCAGCAGCCGCGGUAAUACGGAGGAUCCGAGCGUUAUCCGGAUUUAUUGGGUUUAAAGGGAGCGUAGAUGGAUGUUUAAGUCAGUUGUGAAAGUUUGCGGCUCAACCGUAAAAUUGCAGUUGAUACUGGAUAUCUUGAGUGCAGUUGAGGCAGGCGGAAUUCGUGGUGUAGCGGUGAAAUGCUUAGAUAUCACGAAGAACUCCGAUUGCGAAGGCAGCCUGCUAAGCUGCAACUGACAUUGAGGCUCGAAAGUGUGGGUAUCAAACAGGAUUAGAUACCCUGGUAGUCCACACGGUAAACGAUGAAUACUCGCUGUUUGCGAUAUACUGCAAGCGGCCAAGCGAAAGCGUUAAGUAUUCCACCUGGGGAGUACGCCGGCAACGGUGAAACUCAAAGGAAUUGACGGGGGCCCGCACAAGCGGAGGAACAUGUGGUUUAAUUCGAUGAUACGCGAGGAACCUUACCCGGGCUUAAAUUGCAGAUGAAUUACGGUGAAAGCCGUAAGCCGCAAGGCAUCUGUGAAGGUGCUGCAUGGUUGUCGUCAGCUCGUGCCGUGAGGUGUCGGCUUAAGUGCCAUAACGAGCGCAACCCUUGUUGUCAGUUACUAACAGGUUCCGCUGAGGACUCUGACAAGACUGCCAUCGUAAGAUGUGAGGAAGGUGGGGAUGACGUCAAAUCAGCACGGCCCUUACGUCCGGGGCUACACACGUGUUACAAUGGGGGGUACAGAGGGCCGCUACCACGCGAGUGGAUGCCAAUCCCCAAAACCUCUCUCAGUUCGGACUGGAGUCUGCAACCCGACUCCACGAAGCUGGAUUCGCUAGUAAUCGCGCAUCAGCCACGGCGCGGUGAAUACGUUCCCGGGCCUUGUACACACCGCCCGUCAAGCCAUGGGAGCCGGGGGUACCUGAAGUGCGUAACCGCGAGGAGCGCCCUAGGGUAAAACUGGUGACAG
rnacentral:rRNA from 1 species